rnacentral:rRNA from 1 species
AGGCAGACCCAGGGAACUGAAACAUCUAAGUACCUGGAGGAAGAGAAAGAAAAAUCGAUUUCCUGAGUAGCGGCGAGCGAAACGGAAAGAGCCCAAACCAAGAAGCUUGCUUCUUGGGGUUGUAGGACACUCUAUACGGAGUUACAAAAGAAAGUUAUAAAUGAAGCGGUCUGGAAAGGCCCGCCAAAGACGGUAACAGCCCGGUAGUUGAAAUGGCUUUCCCUCCAGAGUGGAUCCUGAGUACGGCGGAACACGUGAAAUUCCGUCGGAAUCCGGGAGGACCAUCUCCCAAGGCUAAAUACUCCCUAGUGACCGAUAGUGAACCAGUACCGUGAGGGAAAGGUGAAAAGCACCCCGGAAGGGGAGUGAAACAGUUCCUGAAACCGUGUGCCUACAAGUAGUUAGAGCCCGUUAAUGGGUGAUAGCGUGCCUUUUGUAGAAUGAACCGGCGAGUUACG